rnacentral:rRNA from 1 species
UACGGAGGUGGCUAGCGUUGUUCGGAAUUACUGGGCGUAAAGCGCACGUAGGCGGCUUGGUAAGUUAGAGGUGAAAGCCUGGAGCUCAACUCCAGAAUUGCCUUUAAGACUGCCGAGCUAGCAGGUGAGAGAGGUGAGUGGAAUUCCGAGUGUAGAGGUGAAAUUCGUAGAUAUUCGGAAGAACACCAGUGGCGAAGGCGGCUCACUGGCUCAUACUGGACGCUGAGGUGCGAAAGCGUGGGGAGCAAACAGG